rnacentral:lncRNA from 1 species
UCUUGGCUCUAUGAUUUUCUUUUUCCCUCCAUCCCCAACUCCAGCGGGUUUCAUGCCCUCCCUAUUCCCCUCCAUAAUAUCCUUCCCCCUUAGAUGUCCCCAAGGUCCCAUUAAAGCCCGUUUCUCGUGCACUAGAUGAUCUAGGAAUGCAAGAAAUGGGACAUCCCUAUUUCCAAUAUUCUUCCUUAAAAGGGAGACAUGGAAUACAUGAUAGAGUUGAGCUCCUAUUGGCAGUUCCAAUUUUUAUACAACCUUCCCCAAUUUCUGAAUUGUAGGGACCCAUGGUAUUUUGUCGCCAUCUUCUUGUUGGUUCUCUUAGCCAUAUAUUGUUGAGCAUAGGGGUGAAGUUUGAGAUAGACCCAGUCUUCUAGUUGGAAUUCCCAUUCUUUCAUCCAGAGAUAGACAAUCAUUCUAUAAGAUCAAUAAAAAUAUGGCUCCAUAUAUACUAAGGUUCAGGUAUUGGUUGUAGAAGUCCAGGAUAUGCUAUCUCAUUUCUUGUGAUAAACGAAUGGCCUUAAUUAAUUUCUUCCUAAUCUCUCCUCCAAAGCCAACAUAUAGUUUAGAUUUAAAUUUGAGUAAUCCAUCCCUGUAGGUGUAACUGGUUGUGACUGUGUAUUGAAGAGUAAUGAGUGAUUUUACUUCCUGCUUCAUUAUCUCCUUGAUAACUAUCACUAAUCUCUCGCAUCCAACUUAGUACUGUAGUAGUGAUGGAUAAGCAUUUAGCAUCAUUAGUGGUGUCUUUCUUACAUAAGGCAUCGACCACUUUAUUAUUUACCCAUUUUUUGUACUAGAUUUCAUAGCUAAGUCCGAAGAGCUUGUUCAACCAUUUUUGUUGCAAGGGGGUAGUAAUUCUUUGUUCUAGUACGUAUUUAAAUGCUUGAUUAUCUGUUUUAAUGAUGAAAUGGUGCCCUUCCAAAUAGUGUCUCUAUUUUCCCACAACUGUUGCCAAGGCUAGAAGCUCCUUCUCGUAAAUGGAUAAACCAAAAUUCUACUAUUAGUCCCCCUACUCAGAUAGGCUAUGGGUAUUUUAUUUUGCAUCAUUACAACCUCCAGUCUCCCAUAGCAUGCAUCAUUCUCAAUAAUAAAAGGUAUGGUGAAGUCUAGAAAAGCCAAUACAAGUGUGGAACUCAUAGCAAUCUUCAAUUCUUGGAAUAAAAUUUCAACAGUUUCACCCCAAUUGAAGUUAUCCUUUUUCCGCAGUUAGUCAAGGGUCUAGCUAUAGCUCUAUAUCCAUUGACAAACCUCCUGUAGUACCUUGUGAGGCCUAGGAACCCUCUAAAUUGUUUAAUAUUUAUUGGCCUAGGCCAUUCCUAUAUUGUAACUACCUUAGAGGGAUUAGCAACUACUCCCUCAGAAGUAAUUGAAUGUCCCAAAUAUUCAAAUCUAGGUUGCUCAAAAGAGCACUUACUCCCCUUUGCAUAAAGCUGGUGUCUCUUCAGUAAUUCUAGGACUUCAAUUACAUGCUUACAAAGAGUUUUAAGGUCAGUACCACAGACCAAAAUGUCAUUGAAAAAUACUAAAACAUAUUUCCUGAGUUGAUCUUUGAAUACUUUAUUCAUCAAGCAUUGGAAACGUGGCAGGAGCAUUGGUGAGUCUAAAUGGCAUCUACCUAAACCUAUAGAGUCCCUC